UUUAGAAGUGCAAUCCUUUUUCGCAGCCGCCACUCCUAUCUCCGCAGAUCGGACGCCGAAGUUCGGAAAAGCUAGGUUUCCGGCGAACUUCCGGCGAGCUUUUGCGGCCAUCCUAUCGCGUCCCGGCGAAUUCCGCCACCACCAAGAGUUUGUUUUCCGGUGAACUCCGUCCAUGGACGGCCCUCUCGUCACCUCCUCCGGCCACCGCGCGGGCAUCCGCCGAGCGCCGCCCUGCGCACCAUCCCGUAGUCCCGGCGUCCCCUGCUUCCCGUCCCGCGCCCCGUCGAGCGCCGCGCGCGUGCGCCUGCUCGCGGUCGAGCACGGCCGCCGCCAGCCAUGUCCGUGCGGGGCUCCCUGCCGCCGUCGUCCUGGCGCAGCCCGGCGAGCCCGCCCCGGCCACGCGUCCUCGCGGGCCUGGCGCGCCACGCCGCCGGCCGGCCGAGGCCUCCCCUGCCCUGCACGUGGAAAGCAACAGCAGCAGCCAUGGUGUUCACGUUCGUGAGAUGCCACAGGAAGAAGAUGAGACGGAUGCUUAGCGUUGAAGACCAAGAGUUGAGGACCGACAAGUGAGCAGUAGUAGCUGAAGACCAGAAGAUAGAAGACAAAAGACUUCUGAACAGCUAGACUUUGGAUAAAGGCAAGUGCAGACACCUUUUGAUCAUGUUGCUCCUAUGAAAUUUAAAUUAAGCACUUUCCUUUUAUGCAUGUGUCCUAAAACACCCAAACUUAAGGAUUGACUAGCUACCAUAUCCAAAUACACCUAUUGGGGGUUCAUGGGUAGUUUUAUAGGUGCUGCUUAGAUGCUUAGUCUGCUCACCUCACCUAAUUCAUAAUAUUGUUUUCAUCAACUUUAUGUUUCUUUCCCUUGAGAACUAUGGGGUGAGAAAGUUGGAAGCUCUAUUUGCGGUUUUCAUUACAACAAUGGCGUGUUCCUUUACAUGGAUGUUUAUAGAGACUAAGCCCAGUGGCAAAGAUCUAUCCUCUUUUGAAAAACGUCGGCUCCCCUAUUUACACAAAUCAGGAGUAGGGUUGCCACAAUGGCUGCAAUGGAUUUAGUCCUUGAGCACAUGCAUGGUUAUCUAUCCACACCACCUAAGUGGAUUUCAGUGACAUAGUGUAGACCACACAUGUCAUUAUUAGCUAAUAUGAUGUGUCCGUAAUAUAAUGGAGUUUUGAUCCAUCAUACUAUGUAGCCAGUGCUUCCUAUCUGCAUUUGAUUUUAGAUGAUCUCUGCUAUUUCAUAGAAAUGUGAACUGAAACUGAAACUGAACUGCAAAUUGAAUUUUCCCCAAAUUUCAUGAUUUCACUAAUAAUCUGCAAGCUGAAACUGAAUUUCAAACACUACAUUUUGUCAACCCUUUUGUCUGCCAAGUGUUUGUUGUAGUCAUUUCCAUUUCACUUAACUGCUUUGCAGACACUUGCAGCUCUGCUUUAUGUAAUUGGCUUGCUAGAUAUUGCAGGAAAUAAAAAACUGUAUCAAUCUUGAAUUUUGGUUAAGCUACCUAUCUGAGUUUGGGAUGCAGUUCUAUGCAAGCUGCAAGGGGAUACAGUUCUUCUCAAUUUCAUUUUUCUACUUCGUUCUAAGUCUGGGAUGCAGUUCUUUGCAAGCUGCAGGUUGGUAUGAUGGCUUUAUUUUCUGCAUUUACAAUGGGUUGUAAAAGGUUCUAAUUUUUUUUCCUCAAGGUUGGUAUCUGAAGGAAGUUGAAGGAGUUGGCAAUGGAGCUAGCACUGGAUUCUAGACUUCGGCACACUCAUCUUGAGGAUCAUUAAAGGGUAUUGUGCAGCAGGCAACAAGUGCUCGAUGAUAACUUCUAUAGAUUUCCUGAAGAAGGUAGGAGAAUCAGCAAAAGGUGCCAACAGUUGGCAAGAUUUAAAGUUUGGCUAAGGCAGUAACCAUUGAGAAUGAGUAGGCAAUUUCUUCGUCUCAUGCUACUUUCUAGAUUCAUGAUGAAUGGUCCAUUGUUCAGUGAUUUGGACAUGUGACUUGGCUAUCUUAUCUGGUACUAUAUUUUCCUAUUGCUAGGGUUUAGGGUUUCAACAUGGAUUUCAACAUUAGUACAAGAAUGUAAUAGAUGUAAUCAAUCUAGGUAUCUCCGCAUUCUAAAAGCUCCCCUCACAAAACAAUACAUUGGGUUGCUGCAUUUUUGGUCUUUGAUCUGGGUUUUGAUGUGUAAUGCUUGUAUAAUAUGGCCACUUCAUAUCAGAUUGUCGACUAUGUUAACUUGGCAGUGUAUGUGCAAUCAAUAAAGCUUAGUGCAAUUCCUUGGCUA